rnacentral:rRNA from 1 species
AUCACUACGCUAGAUGCAUAUCAAUAAGCGGAGGAAAAGAAACUAACAAGGAUUCCCUUAGUAACGGCGAGUGAAGCGGGAAGAGCUCAAAUUUGAAAUCUUCAAGGUUUUCCCUUUACGAAUUGUAGUUUAAAGAAGUGUUUUCUGUUGGAGUUUCGGUAAAAGUUCUUUGGAAUAGGACAUCAUAGAGGGUGAGAAUCCCGUAUUUGACCGUUACUUUCCAGCUGUGUGAUACACUUUCAAAGAGUCGGAUUGUUUGGGAAUGCAGUCCAAGAUGGGUGGUAAAUUUCAUCUAAAGCUAAAUAUUGGCGAGAGACCGAUAGCGAACAAGUACCGUGAGGGAAAGAUGUAAAGAACUUUGAAAAGAGAGUUAAACAGUACGUGAAAUUGUCAAAAGGGAAGCGUUUGACACCAGUGUUGUUUAGUUGAAAAUCAAUUCAAUAGUUUUUGAUUCUAAGUAGUAUUGACUUCAUCAGCUUGCUGCUUUCUUCUCAGAAAUUAUUGAAUGCACUUUUCAGUUAACAAGUCAACAUCAAUUUCUUUUGUUGUAAAAGGGUAAGAGGAAGGUGGCUUGCGCUUCGGCUCAAGUGUUUAUAGCCUUUUAUCUCUGCAAUCGGAGAGAUUGAGGUCUGCAGCGUAGAUCCUUCGGGGUUAGAUACAUUGGUGCUAAGCUAUAGCCUUGUAUAGACAACUUGUUGACUAUGCUCAGUCAUGUAGCUUACUCGCUGAUGCUAUUUUACCUACGCUUAGGAUGUUGACACACGCGCGUGCUCG